AUCGAACGCUGGCGGCAGGCCUAAUACAUGCAAGUCGAACGAGUGGCGGACGGGUGAGUAAUGUAUGGGAAACUGCCUGAUGGAGCGGGAUAAAUACUGGAAACGGUAGCUAAUACCGCAUACCAUCAGAUGUGCCCAGAUGGGAUUAGCUAGUAGGUGGGGUAAAGGCUCACCUAGGCGACGAUCCCUAGCCGGUCUGAGAGGGUGACCAGCCACACUGGGAUUGAGACACGGUCAAGACUCGUGCGGAAGGAAGCAGGGGGGAAUAUUGCACAAUGGGGGCAAGCCUGAUGCAGACAUGCCGCGUGAGUGAAGAAGGCCUUCGGAUUGUAAAGCGCUUUCGGCAGGGAAGCGUUACCCGCAGAAAAAGCACCGGCUAACUACGUGCCAGCCGCCGCGGUAAUAC
rnacentral:rRNA from 1 species